GCAACUACAGUGUAAGGGAUUUUGAUUGUUAUGAUCUACCUGACCUAAUUCGUUAAACUUCGAAGCCCGUGUGAAUUAGCCCAAAUGGGUUGGAAUAGCCCCUGUUGACAGUUCUACAACCAUUAGAUUCCUAGUUUCUACUCCAUCAUGAUCACUAAACUGGAUGAGAAUCUUAACGCAAAUUUUUAAAGCAAAUUUGGUAAAAAAGGAAAAAGGAAUCCUAUAACUAAUAAAAUACUUCAAAAGAAUCCUCAUUUGUACGUUUAUUUAGCUGGCGUUGACAAAACUCUGUUAGUUUUUUCCCAUAUAUACACACACCAAAAAAAGAACAAAAAAAAAAAGCUCAACAGAUCUCAGUAGAAUUAUCUUUUCUAUUCUCUAUUCAACUAAUCUUCAAACGGGUAUAUUCUUUUUCCCCUUUACACUUCAUUACAAUGUUUUAAUUCAAUUUUUGAAUUUGUAUAAUUUUUGUCCCUUUUUAUUUCAAGAAUCUAAAAAAUAAGUUUUUUUUUACUUGGGUGUUUAUCUUUUUUGAUUAUUCUACAACCCCAUUUGUUCAAAGUUUUUUUUUUUUUUUUUAGCAUUAGCCACUUAAUUGUCUGUUUCUUGUUAUUCUUGAAGUGAUGACUUGUUUGAUUUGGUUGUUAUAUCGGGAAUGUUCUGCUAAAUUUUUGUUUUGUUUGGUUUGGUUGUUUAUUGUUGUUGUUGUUGUAGGUAGUUGCUACAAUUCAUCAAGGUUGACUUAAUAAGUUACACUUUUUGAUAUGUAUUAUUUCACCUUUUUCCUUCGAGAAAUAUUGGAGGGAGGUGAUUAGGCAUGAUAUGGAGAGUUAGGAAGGUGUGGAGGACGGGUAGAGGGUUAGUGGGGAGGAGUGCUUUUGUAUGUAGCUACACGUGUAUUUGCUUGUUUGUGGUGUUUUGGUGAUGUCUUUGAUUUCGAAUAGAUGGUUUAUGGUAUUACCAUGUGGAUGUCUUGUUUUCUUUAUUAUCCAACGAUGUGUCUCUCAUUUUUGUUGUGUGCUUUUAUGUUUUUCGUUUGUUUGUUUGAUUAUACUGUUAUCUGUCCCGAGCCGGUUUCUAUCUGAAACAACCUCUUUACUUGUGGUGUGGACUGCGUACACUUUAUCCUCCCCAGACCCCACUUUGUGGG
rnacentral:lncRNA from 1 species